CCUACGGGAGGCAGCAGGGAGGAAUAUGGGGCAAUGGAAGGAAGGAGGAACAAGAGAAGAGGAGGGAAGGACGAAGGUGCAAAGCAGGGUAAACUUCUUUUGUCAAGGGACAAAAUCAGGCUCGAGAGCCUGACCGAGGGUACUUGAAGAAAAAGCAUCGGCUAACUCCGUGCCAGCAGCCGCGGUAAUACGGAGGAUGCGAGCGUUAUCCGGAUUUAUUGGGUUUAAAGGGUGCGUAGGCGGGCUGUUAAGUCAGCGGUAAAAGCCCGGGGCUCAACCCCGGCGAGCCGUUGAAACUGGCUGUCUUGAGAUGUCGAGAGGUAGGCGGAAUGCGCGGUGUAGCGGUGAAAUGCUUAGAUAUUGCGCAGAACUCCGAUUGCGAAGGCAGCAUACCGGCGGCGAUCUGACGCUGAGGCACGAAAGCGUGGGUAUCGAACAGGAUUAGAUACCCCGGUAGUC
rnacentral:rRNA from 1 species